UGCGCUGUAUGUGGGCGCGCAUAUUCUACCUAUUCCUUGAAAUCAAAACUGUGUGAGACCGUGUUUUUGCUGUUAUCCUGUUGCUAAUGUCCUGUGUUUUUCGCAAGCGAUAGUCGUACGGAGCGAAUCGAGUAUCAGGGUGUAUCGGUGCGUUACUUUUAUUAUCUUAACCAUCCAAAUAACUUCCGUAGUACACUCUUUUUACUACUGUCUCAGUACAAUUAACCUCAAAAUCACUACCCCGGUGAGAUAAUUACUUUUUACAAAUAUCAUUUUGUCAUUUUCUAAAGAAAGUCGAACGUGCGAUAAUAUAUUCGAGUAUUAUUUUUUUUCUUAUAUGAUAAAGUAUCUCGACUCGUAUUCCCUCUAUCUUUCUCUCACGUUCACACGCUAACAUUCAGCGCACAUUUCAGCGCGUACAUUUCACGCAUUCUCUCAAAUCUAAAUUUGCACCAUCUUGUUUUUGGCAUUAUUCUGUUAUCUUUCGCACGGUGAUACUCGUACAGGGUGGAUCGUGUAUCGAAGCAUAUCGGUACGCACGUAGCGGGAGUGCCGUAUAAAAUGUCGCGCGUAAUAAUUAAUCAGAUUUUCGCGAGUGAAUCGCGCGUAAAUCGUGUUCCCUUAUACUGAGAGGAUGAGCAGGCUCAGGAGGGAUAUCGGGCAUCGGCGGAGCAACUUUAAGAUCAACGGAACAACAACUCCGCUGCUGCGCAUCGUGCCGGUGAGUAAAUUCAAUACAGAGAGGACGUGGCGUAGGACGGGCAUCGGACAUCGAUGGAGCAACUUUAAGAUGACAGCAACGCGUCGGGAGUGCCGCAUAAAAUGUCGUGACAUAAUAAUAAUCAAAUUUUCGUGAGUGAAUCAUGUUCUCUUACUGAAAGAAGGAGCAAGCUCAGGACAGGCAUCGGGCAAUCAGCGGAACAACUUUGAGUGUACAUGGCAGUGUCGAAUGCGUGUUCCGUGCGAUAAUUCAUCUAAUAUUACAGUUUUAUUUUUGUCAUAAGAUGACAAAACACGCGUCGGGAGUGCCGUUUAAAGUGCCGUGCGAUUAUUCGCGUCGCGAUAUCGUGUGUGAAUACUUUGAAGACCACUGAGAGGAGGAGGAGGCUCAGGAGGAGCAUCGGGCACCGGCGGAGCAAUUCUAGAAUCAGCUUUGCAGAUCAACAACUCCGCUGCUGCG